GGGGUGCAGCAGGCGCGAAAACUUUACAAUGCCGGAAACAGCGAUAAGGGGACCUCGAGUGCCAGGUUACAAAUCUGGCUGUCGUGAUGCCUAAAAAGCAUUGCAUAGCAAGGGCCGGGCAAGACCGGUGCCAGCCGCCGCGGUAACACCGGCGGCUCGAGUGGUAACCGUUAUUAUUGGGUCUAAAGGGUCUGUAGCCGGCCGGAUAAGUCUCUUGGGAAAUCCAGCAGCUCAACUGUUGGGCUUUCAGGAGAUACUGUCUGGCUCGAGGCCGGGAGAGGUGAGAGGUACUUCAGGGGUAGGGGUGAAAUCUUGUAAUCCUUGAAGGACCACCAGUGGCGAAGGCGUCUCACCAGAACGGACCUGACGGCAAGGGACGAAAGCUAGGGGCACGAACCGGAUUAGAUACCCGGGUAGUCCUAGCCGUAAACGAUACUCGCUAGGUGUCGACCACGGUGCGACCGUUGUCGGUGCCGUAGGGAAGCCGUGAAGCGAGCCACCUGGGAAGUACGGCCGCAAGGCUGAAACUUAAAGGAAUUGGCGGGGGAGCACAAGGGCGAUUCGCG
rnacentral:rRNA from 1 species